AUUGAACGCUGGCGGCAGGCCUAACACAUGCAAGUCGAGCGGAUGAGUGGAGCUUGCUCCGUGAUUCAGCGGCGGACGGGUGAGUAAUGCCUAGGAAUCUGCCUGGUAGUGGGGGACAACGUUUCGAAAGGAACGCUAAUACCGCAUACGUCCUACGGGAGAAAGUGGGGGAUCUUCGGACCUCACGCUAUCAGAUGAGCCUAGGUCGGAUUAGCUAGUUGGUGAGGUAAAGGCGCACCAAGGCGACGAUCCGUAACUGGUCUGAGAGGAUGAUCAGUCACACUGGAAGUGAGACACGGUCCAGACUGCUACGGGAGGCAGCAGUGGGGAAUAGUGGACAAUGGGGGAAAGCCUGAUCCAGCCAUGCCGCGUGUGUGAAGAAGGUCUUCGGAUGGUAAAGCACUUUAAGUUGGGAGGAAGGGCAGUAAGUUAAUACCUUGCUGUUUUGACGUUACCAACAGAAUAAGCACCGGCUAACUUCGUG
rnacentral:rRNA from 1 species